UGAGUGGGUUUCGUAAAGACUGCCUGAUGU
rnacentral:piRNA from 1 species